UUACGGUCAUAUCAGGUUGAAACACCAGUUUUCAUACAACCACCAAAGUUAAGCAACGUCGAGCCUGGUCGGUACCUAGAAGGGUGAACGCUUGGGAAUACCUGGAGCGGCAA